rnacentral:rRNA from 1 species
AGCAGUAGCCGCGGUAAAACGAAGGGUGCAAGCGUUAAUCGGAAUUACUGGGCGUAAAGCGUGCGUAGGCGGUUUGUUAAGUCUGCUGUGAAAUCCCCGGGCUCAACCUGGGAAUGGCAGUGGAUACUGGCAAGCUAGAGUGUGUCAGAGGAUGGUGGAAUUCCCGGUGUAGCGGUGAAAUGCGUAGAGAUCGGGAGGAACAUCAGUGGCGAAGGCGGCCAUCUGGGACAACACUGACGCUGAGGCACGAAAGCGUGGGGAGCAAACAGGAUUAGAUACCCCCGUAGUCCCUGUCUCUUAUAC